AUUGUGAUGCACGGGAGCUUGGGAGAACGCCAGGCUGAGAGGAAGGCCGCUGCCUUCGACCGUUAGACCUGAACUGGAUAAUGCCAGCGGAGGAACGAGAACCCACACCAUCAG
rnacentral:ncRNA from 1 species